CCAGAAAGGCCUGGAUCCUGCCCACAGUUGUCUCCAGGGAGCUUUGGGCUGUGUGUUGAAAGUUGCUCAGAAGAUGAAUCGUGUCCUCAGGGAAUGAAGUGCUGCAGCAAUGGGUGUGGGCACACCUGCCAGCGUCCUGUCCCCCGCAGGCCAGUAAGGCGUGGAGACUGCCCAAGGGUGCCCCCAGGGAGCGUUGGGAUCUGUGCUGAAAUGUGCUCAACAGAUGCAUCGUGUCCUAGGGGAAUGAAGUGCUGCAGCAAUGGGUGUGGGCACACCUGCCAGCGUCCUGUCCCCCGCAGCAGUGUGAAAGACGGACGGGACAUCUAUUAAAUGAAUCUGGAAUCCAGCCCCAUGAGAUUCUCACAAAUUCUUGGCAUAAGAAAAAGGCUCUUCCACACCCACUCCUGGCUCUGAAUGGAAGCCUUAGAAGAUGAAUAUCCAAAGCAGUGCAGCGACUCCUUUGUGCUUAUUUCCGAAAUAAAGUCUGUGUGGCAUGA